UCGACCACCGUUAGGCAGACGUAUAAAUUAGGCAGACGUUUUUAAGUCUGCCCAAUUUUCUACUUGUAAAAUGAAAUUAUGUAUUUAACUUUUGAGUAAAAUGUGUUUUCUUUCCUUAAAUUUAGAAUCUAAACUUUACAUUUCGGGCAAAAAGAUUUCAUUUUAUUCAUAAAAGUGUAAAUUCUAGAGUUGUUAAAAACUAGCGUGUAUUAUUUUGGCAAUAUACGUUUCACGACUUGUGUAGACAUUUUUCAAAUGGGCAUCACAAACGAAAGCGGAAAUAUAUUUAAAUUUCGUUUGAUUUUUUCCUUAUUCUGAACCACUAGGUGUCAGAUUAUCUAGAUUAAUAUUUUUAAAGAUGGUAUUUAAAUUUUUUUAAUUUUCCAACACCGUGAUUUUUUUGUUGCGUUCUGUUUUGCUGUCAUGUUACGGAAAUGAACUUCGGGAACCUUCGGAGACACCCGGAAAGGAUCCAGCGUCUGCGAAGAUGUUGUCACGUAGGAGGAAAGUGUCGAUUGGGUUAAGACUGAUCUGUACAAAAGUGGCUUUUCUGUUGGACACAUUUCUAAAUACAAUGGAGAAACAAUCCUGCACAUCAUUUUUGGAAAUGGAAGAGUUAGAGGCAGAACAGGAGGAACAAUCAUGAACAUCAUUAGUUGAAAUGGGAGAGUUAGAGGCAGAACAGGUAGGGAACAUAAUUUACAUCUAAGGUUAUAUAUCACAUAUCACCAUUACAUCACAACAGUCUGCUUGAAAUGAAUCUUUUAAAAAUUAAAAAAAAUCAAGGAGAAUAACCAUAUAAAGUUCAAAGACUAAUUCCAGUUAUUAGUCCCCUACCGGUUUAUAAAACGAAAGUCAAGUGGAUUUUAGGUUUCCUCUCUGUCCGUCUCUCUGUCAAUCAGUCUGUCCCAUUGGUUUUCCAGAUAUUUUUGCAUAAUGCUUGUGAGAAUUCAUUGAAACUUGUAGUGCAGUAACUACAGAUUGAGUUCAAGUUUCAUAUCUUUUGAUGCAUAAGUGUGAAAGAAAUUAAUUUUUAUAUUGUUAUGUCUUUGUAUUGAUCGAGAUUGGGAUGUGUUCCAAUGGAAGGGCUGUAAAAGUAGGACAACUGAAUAGAUCGAGGCUGGGGUUGUGUAAAUAAUAUUUUAAUUAAUUCCACAUUUCAAAUUCAUUAAUCGCAAAAGGGAAAUAUCAAUAAUUAGUGAUCCUAAUUGUUUGCGAACAAUUAGAGGGCUUCCCACCUUCUACCGGUUUUUCAGUAGUGUUCAAAUGCUAAACAAUUUGAUUUGGAUAGAAAAGAAAUUCAAAUUUGCCGCCUUGAGUGUUGAAGUGUUGGAGAUUGAGGCCUUGGUUUCGCACGAUAGUACCGGUCAAAUAUUUGAAAAAAAAAGGGGUGUGGGUGUUGGAUAGCCGGCACAUAUCGGGUAAAAGUGUAAUAGGACUUGUGCAGGUGUUUGGGGGUGACUUUAGACCUGUUAGAUAUGAUAUUUGGAGGUGUAAAGAAACCGGAAGUGACAUUUUCAGAGAUUACACAUGUAGUGCUGACACUCUGCUCAUGCAUGCUGGGACUAUGAGCCUCAUGUUGAAAAGAUGGUAGGAGUCUGUGCACUUUACCAUGUGUGUAAUGGAUUGUGGAAUUUGAUAUACAGUUUGUAAUUGCUCAUCCUAUGUGUUCUAAUUCAUGGAGAAAAUGUCUUUCAAUCAUUUCACCCAAGGAGGCAUGCAUAUGGAUUUAGGCUGUGAAAAAGAACCCCAAACAAAAUGGCGGCUGGUGAAUUAAAAAAAGUUUCUGAGUGUAUGAUCUGAACGGAGAAUAGGAAUACUGCAUCCCAUCUGACCCUGCAGGAAGAAAGACCUCUGGCAAAGACAAGAACAAAGGAGGGAGAACAUUUCUGGAAAUUUAUGAAAUCUUCAGUGUGUUUGGACACAGGAGCUAUGAUAUCCAUUCUGGUUGCCUCGGGAUCGAUUCUUGUGAAUAUAGAAAAGUGGAAAUUCAAAUGUUGGUUAUUUUACACUUUAAAAGUGCUUACUGCUUAGUCCAAUAUCUUGAUUAAUCUAGUCUUUUAUGAUUUUUCAGGCAAAUUAAAUCUCCAACACAUGUAUACAUUUUUGAUAAAUUACCCCAAGGACCCUAUAUUUUUUCAAAAGCAAUAUAUAUCUGAAGUAAAUAAAACCAUUUUUGUUGGGUCACACAAUGAAUAGAAAUGUAGUGCUUAUAUCAUGGAAUUUCUGUAAACAGAUGAUAUUUUUUACAGUUUUUAGCUCACCUUAGCCAAAACCUCAAGUAAGCUUUUCUGAUCAAAAUUUGUCCGUUGUAUGUCGUCGUCAUAAACUUUUCACGUUUUUAACUUCUUCUUAAGAACCGUUGGCCAAUUUCAACCAAACUUGUCACAAAGCAUCCUUGGGUGAAGGGCUUUUAAGUUUGUUCAAAUUAAGGGCCAUGUCCCGUUCAAAGGGAAGAUAAUCACAAAAAUGCAAAAAUAGGGUGCGGUCAUUUUAAAACCUUCUUGUAAAGAACCACUGGACCAGAAAAGCUGAAAUUUACAUGAAAGUUUCCUGAUAUAGUGCAGAUUCAAGUUUGUUCAAAUAAUGGCCCCCGGGCAUUGGAUGGGGCCACAAUAGGGGAUUAAAGUUUUACAUACUGAUAUAUAGGAUGACUCUUUAAAAAUCUUCUUCUCAAGAACCACUGAGCCAGAAAAGCUGAGAUUUACAUGAAUGCUAUCUGACAAUGCAAAUUCAAGACUGUUCAAAUCAUGGCCCCUGGGGUAUGAUGGGGUCACAAUAGGGGGAUCAAAGUUUUACAUGCAAAUAUAUAGGAAAAAUGUUUAAAAUUGUUCUUCUCAAGAACAACUGGGCCAGAAAAUCUUAGAUUUACAUGAAAGCUUCCUGACAUAAUGCAGAUUCAAGUUUGUUCAAAUCAUAGCCCCUGGGGGUAUGAUGGGGCCACAAUAGGGAAUCAAAGUUUUACAUACAAAUAUAUAGGAAAAAUAUUUUAAAAUCUUCUCAAGAACCACUCAGCCAGAAAAGCUGAUAUUUACAUGUAAGUUUCCUGACAUAAUGCAGAUUCAAGUUUAUUCAAAUCAUGGCCCCUGGGGGUAUGAUGGGGCCACAGUAGGGGAUCAAUGUUUUACAUGCAAAUAUACAGGAACAAUCUUUAAAAGCUUCUUCUCAAGAACCACUGGACCAGAAAAGCUGAAAUUUACAUGAAAGCUUCCUGACAUAAUGUAGAUUCAGGUUUGUUCAAAUCAUGGCCCCUGGGGGUAUGAUGGGGCCACAGUAGGGAAUCAAAGUUUUACAUACAAAUAUAUAGGAAAAAUAUUUUAAAAUCUUCUUCUCAAGAACCACUCAGCCAGAAAAGCUGAUAUUUACAUGUAAACUUCCUGACAUAAUGCAGAUUCAAGUUUGUUCAAAUCAUGGUCCCCGGGGGUUUGAUGGGGCCACAAUAGGGAAUCAAAGUUUUACAUACAUAUAUAUAGGAACGAUCUUUAAAAGUCUUCUUCUCAAGAACCACUGGACCAGAAAAGCUGAGAUUUACAUGAAAGCUUUCUGAUAUAAUGCAGAUUUAAGUUUCUUCACAGGAAAAAUUUUUAAAAAUCUUCUCAAGAACCACUGGACCAGAAAAGCUGAAAUUUAUAUGAAAGCUUCUUGACAUAAAGCAGAUUCAAGUUUGUUCAAAUCAUGGCCCCUGGGUGUUGGAUGGGGCCACAAUAGGGUAUCAAAGUUUUACAUACUAAUACAUAAGGAAAAUCUUCUUCUCAAGAACCACUAAGCCAGAAAAGCUGAUAUUUACAUGAAAGCUCUCUGACAUAUAUUUCAGUUUGUUAAAAUAAUGGCCCCCAGGGGUAGGAUGGGGUCACAAGGGGGAUCAAAGUUUUACUCACAAAUAUAUAGGGAAAAUCUUUAAAUAUGAGCUAAGAUGACUAAGGUGAGUGAUGUGACCCUUGGGCCUCUUGUUUAAAGCCUUUCAUAAUUACCAAAUUUAAAAAAUGGUCUGAAACUGGAAGGUACAAACGAAUCCAUUACCAUUUUGAAUAUUCAUAACCUAGUAUGUUCUGUUGACAUGUUUUGUUUAGAAUUUUGUUCAGAGAAAUGUAAUUCAAAUGAUCACAAAAUAUACACUGUCAUUGGUUUUGGUAUACAUAUAAAAGGUAAAUCCUGGUUUGCCAUGUUCAUAAUAUAUGUCAUGCAAUAAGACUAAGUGCUCUGUUGUUUAAACUGUGUAUUGUUAUAGGAUUUUCGUUUAGUGUUUAUGACUAUCUCAUGUGAGCAUUACUGCCUAUGAUAUUUUCUCUUUCAAUAUAAUUUUUUUGAAAAUAUGUUGAUAAAUGACCACUACAGUUUAAUUCAUAUGUAUACUAUCUGAGUUCAGAAUGUUCUCUUGUGUUUUGUCUUAUUGAGAUGAUAUAUUGUGCUCUUUGACUUAAUGAUGCUGCUUUAAGGCAUAAUUGUUGCACCUAUAGUGUAUUCAUUUUCAAAUGUAUUGAAAUAUAAUGUUUGAUAAUAAUGAGGCAAUGCUAUACUUGUUAGGGUAGUAAUGCACCGGUAAUUCAAAUGUACAUUGAUGUCUUACCCGAUAGUUUUUAUUUUGUUACAAUUUUGGUUUUUGAUAAGAAUUUUAGGUCACAUAGGUAAUCUCUGGUGACCUGUCUUCUGAGUAAAUUCAGGUAACAAUUGAACAUUUUGUAAGAAAAACGUAUGCAUAGUCAGAUAGAGGAGGAAGGCCUUUACUAAAAAUGUAGAUGUUGUAAUCCAUGGGGUAGGGUUUCUGACUCUGGGGUAAGACCAAACUUGGUAUACAUAGUGAAUAUGUGUUAAAGGCAUAGGAUCUAUCUUUUAUCCCAAAAAUGACAUCACAAUAUUUUGCAAGAAGAACUCCAAAAAAACAAAUUUGUAGUAUUAAUUAUGAGUUAUCUAUAGCUGCAGCACUUUGAAAUUUAAGUCAUUUUGACGUUUUAGCCCUAUUUAAAAAUGUUGUCAGGAGGACAAUAUAUUAAACUGGUACCCCACUGAUUGGUGGCUACACACAAACAAGAGAUGCGAAAUCAACAAGGGUACCAGUUUAGGCAAAUGAGAACAGGGAAUUAUUUUGUAAUUACUAUCGUUAUCCAAUGUGUUUGUAAACAUUCUGAAGAACUUUGUGUGAUUUUCUAGUUAAUAUGAUCUGAAAUUUCGCCACCUUUUUGGAACAUGCAACAUUUCACCAAUAUCUUAGACCCUAUGCCUUUAAGGUAAUUCCACCCCUGUAGAAUUAUAGGUUCAAUCUUAUAUUUGAUUAAUGGUUAUCUUAGUAACUAAUAAAAAUGAUAACAUAAGUAUGUUGCAGCAUUGAUAAAAAAUUUAUCAAUUAGCACGCAUAUACCUGUUAUUGAUGUCAGAAAAUUACAAUUUUCCUUAAAUACAUUUCAUUAUCACAAAAACUUGUUAAAACAAUAUAAUGGUAUUCAUAACAAUUUCAUGAAACUGUUUCUUAAAAAAAAUAUACAAAUAUGUUUGUGAAAAGUAAAGGAAAUAUAUGCAUUAAAAAUUGAUAAAUAAUUUAAUGAAAAAGGAGUUAUUACCCUUGGAUUCGGUAUUUCGAAACUCAUACGUGAGUUUUGAAAUAUUUUAUGGUUAACAAGAUUAUUUACAAUAACUAUUGAAAAAGACUUCAACAAAAUUUAUGUUCCCAUCAUGCAUAAAUCUUAUCAAAUCAUUGACUUUGCGAAAGCUUAUGACAUCACAGGAGAGUGGAAAUACGUUACACAAUUAUAAAAUAUCUUUUUUAAAGGUUGAUAUUAACAUGAAACUAAAUUAAUAUGUGGUAAUCCUUAACCAAAAUUGUAAAAUUCAUGAUUUCCUGGACAAGGGUUUAGUUUCCAGGAUGAGGCCAAGAUUAUAGUAGCAACUAUUGUCUUUAUUGUGAUAUGGUCAAUAACCAAAUGCAUGCUUAUUAGAAGCAGAAAAGGAUAUACGAAAGUGGUGAUUUACACAACCCCAGGGUUUUGACUGUACACAGGUCCAAAGUAGUCAUAUUAUUUAAUGUUGUAUAUAUAACGUCUCCAUAUUAGUGAAAUAUUCUCGAGAGGGACGUUAAACAAUACCCAAUCAAUCAUCUGGACUGUAUAGGCACUUUCAGGGCAUUUAAGUUUUAUGAACACAUCUUUUAUUCUGUUUUGUAUGUUAGGAUUUAAUUUAGGUAUGCAGAACAGGAAUUUUUCUCAAGAUUUCAUAAUGCUUGGGGCUAGUGAUACUUUUAAUUAAUUCCCAUGUACCCAAUAAGGCAUGUGGGCCUUUUAUUUCAUGAAAUGCAUUAAAUUCUGAUUGAUAUGUCUUUUAUAAUUUUUCAUAAAAUCGAUGAAAAUCCUAUAUGUUUUAUUAAUAUUUGACUAGCAACCAUACUUGAAAAUGAUUUGUAUACCAUGCCAGUUUUUGUUACAAAGUAACAAUUAUAUAAUGAAUAAAUUUCAUGUUAAAGUUAA